AACGAACGCUGGCGGCAUGCCUAACACAUGCAAGUCGAACGAGACCUUCGGGUCUAGUGGCGCACGGGUGCGUAACGCGUGGGAAUCUGCCCUUGGGUUCGGAAUAACAGUUGGAAACGACUGCUAAUACCGGAUGAUGACGUAAGUCCAAAGAUUUAUCGCCCCAGGAUGAGCCCGCGUAGGAUUAGCUAGUUGGUGAGGUAAAGGCUCACCAAGGCGACGAUCCUUAGCUGGUCUGAGAGGAUGAUCAGCCACACUGGGACUGAGACACGGCCCAGACUCCUACGGGAGGCAGCAGUGGGGAAUAUUGGACAAGGGGCGAAAGCCUGAUCCAGCAAUGCCGCGUGAGUGAUGAAGGCCUUAGGGUUGUAAAGCUCUUUUACCCGGGAUGAUAAUGACGGUACCGGGAGAAUAAGCACCGGCUAACUCCGUG
rnacentral:rRNA from 1 species